AGAUUGAACGCUGGCGGCAUGCCUUACACAUGCAAGUCGAACGGUAGAGUAGCAAUACUUGAGAGUGGCGAACGGGUGAGUAAUAUAUCGGAACGUGCCCAGUCGUGGGGGAUAACGUAGAGAAAUUUACGCUAAUACCGCAUACGAUCUAAGGAUGAAAGCGGGGACCGUAAGGCCUCGCGCGAUUGGAGCGGCUGAUAUCAGAUUAGGUUGUUGGUGAGGUAAAGCUCACCAAGCCGACGAUCUGUAGCUGGUUUGAGAGAACGACCAGCCACACGUGGACUGAGACACGGACCACGACUCCGUACGGGAGGCAGCGUAGGUAGGGUAAUUUGGACAAGUCGGGACGAAAGCCGUAGACUCC
rnacentral:rRNA from 1 species